UUUCCGUAGGUGACCUGCGGAAGGAUCAUUAAAGAGAUAGGGUCUUCAUGGCCCGACCUCCAACCCUCUGUUGUUAAAACUACCUUGUUGCUUUGGCGGGACCGUCUCGGUCUCCGAGCGCACUAACCCUCGGGUUGGUGAGCGCCCGCCAGAGUCCAACCAAACUCUUGUAUUAAACCAGUCGUCUGAGUAUAAAAUUUUAAUUAAAUUAAAACUUUCAACAACGGAUCUCUUGGUUCUCGCAUCGAUGAAGAACGCAGCGAAAUGCGAUAAGUAAUGUGAAUUGCAGAAUUCAGUGAAUCAUCGAAUCUUUGAACGCACAUUGCGCCCCUUGGUAUUCCGAGGGGCAUGCCUGUUCGAGCGUCAUUACACCACUCAAGCAUCGCUUGGUAUUGGGAACGGUCCGUCGAAAGGCGGGCCUUCCUCGAAGACCUCGGCGGGGUUCAACCAACUUCGGGCGUAGUAGAGUUAAAUCGAACGUCUUAUAAGCUUGGUCGGAUCUCAUUGCCGUUAAACCUUUAAAUUUUCUAGGUUGACCUCGGAUCAGGUAGGGAUACCCGCUGAACUUAAGCAUAUCAAUA
rnacentral:rRNA from 1 species